rnacentral:rRNA from 1 species
CGUGGGUAACGUACCUUUUAGUGGGGAACAACAGUGAGAAAUUACUGCUAAUACCGCAUACGGUCAUCUUGCCGCAUGGUGAGAUGAAGGAAGACGGCCUCUCGACGAAGCUGUCGCUAAAAGAUCGACCCGCGUCUGAUUAGCUAGUUGGUGAGGUAACGGCUCACCAAGGCGACGAUCAGUAGCCGGCCUGAGAGGGUGAACGGCCACAUUGGGACUGAGACACGGCCCAA